rnacentral:lncRNA from 1 species
UAAGCAAUAACUAUUUGGUCUGCAUUUCCCAGGUUUAUUUAAAGUGUAUCAUGCAUGACAUGAGCUUAAGUGUCCUCACUAUGUUCAUUUUGAAAACAGGAGGAAAAGAGAGGCAUGCGAAGCAGGUCCUACACGUUGAUGAUGCGAAAAAAUCAAUCACCUUCAAUUUUGUUGAAGGUUAUAUGAAUGAAUUAUACAAGUCCAUAACAGCUACUUUGACUGCAGAGGGAAACUGGAUGACUUGGACCCUUGUGUAUGAGAAGUUGAAUGAAAACACACCAGAGCCCCUUGAUCUUUUGGAAUUUGCUAUUUGCCUCCUCAAAGAUAUUGAGCCUCAUCAUGUCGGGAAAUAGAUAUUUGUUCCCGUUCCCAUCAGUACGAUGAAGUAUUAUGGCCAUCCUAAAUACUUAUGAAUAAAUAAAACUAUUUGGUCUGAUAUGUAUUCCAUAUGAGUUCUAUGUUAGCGUUUCAAAUGGUAAUAAUAAUAUGAUGUACUUUUAUAUCGCCUCUCAAUACUAAUCCAAUCUCUCAUUUAUUGUUAUGUGCAAUUACAUAUUUUAAGACUUUUACUAGGUUCAUAUGAUAUUUGGAUUUACAUAUAUUAUUGGUUUUGAACACCACGAGCUAGAGGGUGUUGCGGCACCAUUACAUGUAGCUUGAAAGUUAUAGCAACUUUGAUUUGAAUAGUUGCAUUCGCUUCAUCAUUCGAGACAUUUGAAUAGGUCAGUAUACUAUUAUUCGACUUGUUUGAUUAGUUGGAGGAGUCCCGGGAUCCUUGCGUGAGUUUCGACGGUGUCAGAUUUUUAAUAUUGUAAAAUUGUCUAGUGCCUCUAUUGUGAUCGCGUGGGUAGUGUCACGAUCUUGAAGGCUUAUGUGAGCUGGUCAUGGUGAUCGCAGACCCGACCGGUUGUUUUGUGUAAUUGUUGUUACCCCAUAUUUUUGUACGUAAAAGUGCUUAUAUCGUUGGUAUGGAAUCCUAUGAGCUCCAGGGUGUUGCGGCACCAUUACAUGUAAUUUGGAAGUUAUAACAACAUUGAUUUGAGUAGUUGCAUUCGCUUCAUCAUUGGAGACAUUUGAACAGGUUAGUAUAUUAUUAUUCGACUUGUUUGAUUAGUUGGAGGAGUCCCGGGAUCCUUGCGUGAGUUUCGACGGUGUCAGAUUUUUAAUAUUGUAAAAUUUUCUAGUGCCUCUAUUGUGAUCGCAUGGGUAGUGCCACGUUCUUGAAUAUGUGAGCUGGUCAUGGUGAUCGCGUGUAAUGACCUGAUCGGUCAUUUUGUGUAAUUGUUGUUAUCCCUCGUAUUUUUGUACGUAAAAGUGUGUCGUAAGUAAAUUAAAGUAGGACAAAAAAAUAAAAUUAUCUUUGAAUGUACAUAACAUAAGUUAAUCAUAUUAACUCAAAGGUUACAAAUAUUGAAAAUCGGUUAACAACAAAUACAUAGAGGAUAUGAAGGUUUAUAAGCCAAAGAAAUUGAAAAAAAAGUAAUAUUUCGUCGAAAGUCGACAAAAUGAGAAUGUUAUAACAUGUAUUUUUGGGGUGAGACUGGGGUGUUUAACAUGAUAUAGAGGUUAUGUUAGUCCUGUGAUAGUCAUGUUUUAGGUUUUGAAGUCAAGCGAGUUGUGGAACAAAAAUCGAUGAAAGUCAUCACAAGUUACAUCAUAAGUUUUACUGAAAUUUUGAUCAAAUGUCACUACAAUUUUCUCCUAAUAUACUUAGAGCUACAAGGUUAUCAAUCCAUCAAAUUAAAGAUCUCUGCGUCUAUUUUCUAACGCAUUAAACCAAUUUUCGAUACGACAUCAGAGUAGAGAGAUAUAUGUAUUUUUGUAAGAUUGUGCAGACUGCUAGGUGACAAGUAGGUGUGUCACCUACUUGCUUAAAUGAGAGGGUUAAAUAUUUCCAAAAGAGCUAUUUCGGGUCGGCCAAAGAGCCCUUUUAAGAGCUUAUCUAAUACUAAUAAUAUCACAAAAUAACCAGAGAUAAGCCCCUGCAAACAUCCUCCAAAAAAUUGAACACAACCCCCAAUUGAUUUUCUGUCCUUUUCAAGUUCUAAUUGGAGGAAAAACUUAGGGUUUGAAGAACCAAGAUAGGAGUUGGGGUAUUCAACAAAUAAGAUAAGAUAAACCAUUCUGUCCUUUCCAAGUUCUAAUUGGAGGAAAAACCUAGGGUUUGAAGAACCAAGAUAGGAGUUGGGGUAUUCAACAAAUAAGGUAAGAUAAACCUUGUCACAUAGUGCACACAUCCCAAUCAAGGUAGAACACAAGAGCAAGUAUGGAUGUAUGUUUACAAUAUAGGUGUAUCUACAUCCGAAGUAAAUAUAACAUAAGUCUCAGGAUUUGCUGUAACGAUCUGGCUAGUCGUUUUGAGUAUUUAAUCAUUGUUCCCUAUUUAUUAUGUCCUCUACAUUGUAUUGUAGUUAUGUGACUCACUGGUGUGUUUGGUUUUUGUUCGGGUGAGUUUCAGAGUGAAAUAGGAGACUUAGCUCUAAAGUUAGAAGUUCUAAUUGAAAGAGUUGAUCGUUAUUUAACUUUUGUGGACGAAUCUAAAAUAGAACUUUGACGGUCAAAUAGCUCUAGCCAUAUGAAACUCCAGUGUUACAAAUAUAAACAAGCAGCAGCAUCUUACAACUUCAUCAGCAAAAGAUUCAUUGAGUGGUUAUGUCAUCAAAGAAUAAUAAAAUUGAACUUCUAUUUCUAUGAGCUGCUAAUCAUUCACAAGAAAAAAAAUUAUUGAGCCCCCACCUCUCCGGCCACGACAAUCCUACAAUUUCAAAUGCUGUGGCAAUAUUGUGACAGAAGAAAUGAACGUAAUUCAUUAUCCAUAUAGGAUCGAUAUGGCUAAUGCGUACAUUAGAACUUCAAGGAUCGAUUACAAUGAUGACCACUUCUCGCUGUGCUUCAUACCAUGUCCUGUUCUAAACUCAGCAGCCAAUAUCUGUACACCCGAUCGAUGAUGUUAUUUCCCAAUGGCCUUUAUGGUUGCAGCCCUCCUCAUUGUUACCGGCAAGUAUUAUGUCAUUCUCUUAUAUCCUUAGAGGCUUCUUAGACAGUAAACAUGGGCUUCAAACUUAUGUAAAUAUGUAUUUUGUAUGUUGGGCAAUGUAAGUUGCAAACUUCUUUAAGUAACCAUGUAUGUUUGUAUAAUGGUGUUUUAUUUAUAAAGGGAUAAUUCUUUUGAUUAAUGAGAAAUGAAAUUACAGGGUAACACGUGGGAUAGGAAAGGCACCCAGGUCCGCUUGACUGGGGCAACCUGGUCGGGCGCCCGUUGCACCCCUCGGUUUUGGGGCAUGACACCAAGAAAUUUAGUAUUCUUGGAUUUUAACAACUAUUUUGGGCAUGAAAUUAAGAGUAAAUUAUGUAUUUGGGUUAGUGAGGCAAUGGGUAAACGUUAUCUUCAAAAAAUUGCACGUGGGCCCGAUGACAUUUUUGUCAACUUCUUGUUCCAGGUUAGGAAUUGUUAUAAAUUUGAUUAUUAUGAGUAAUUGAACAUAUAUUAAUGUAUUUGCGCAAUUAUUGUCUAGUUCUGGAGUGUUGUGCAUCAAUUUAAGUCUUAGGAAGGGCCUGGAAUGCCAGUUAUGGAGCUUCAGAGCGAGGUGAGUCUCCUUUCUAACCUUGUAAGAGGAAAUUGUCCUCAUAAGUGAGUUAAUUGGUUGUGUGCUCAGAAUUGUUGGGGCUAUGUACGUUUGAGGUGACGAGCAUGCGUGCGUAGCUACAAUUAUGCUUAAGUCCGGGUAGUUUAGGGCCCAAAAUCAUGCUUACUUGUAAUACUUGCAACCUUGUUGAAAAUAAAUGCUUAAAAAUAUCGAACGUGUAAAUGAAUUUCAAAAGGGCUAGAUAUCAUUUCUUGACUUUCACAAGAGAAACUUGCCCUUUCCUGAAUAUCUACUCCUUGAUAAAUUGUUGAUUUGACUUUUUGGAUGUGUUUAUUUAUUAUGGAAUGGGCUGAACACCUCGAUAGAUUAAAUAGAUGCAUCUGUGGUUCACGCCAUUUGACGUUCUGGCAUUGCACAAUUUAAAUAUAUUUGGAUGGGGCUGUACAUCCUCGGCAUGAUUUGCCCAUGCUUGUAUUGCUUGCCUUGACAUUUAUUGAAGUUGAUAUUGCUUCUUACCUGCUUGAAAAUAUUUGUAUAAAUUAUGAAAAAGGAAUUUUUGGAAUUCAACAAAAAAGAAAGUUUUUUACUUGCUUCACUCCAUCGAAUUACAAUUAUAUUUAUAUAAAUCCUACAUUUUCCACAUUAUUGAUUUAUUAUUAUUAGACCAUUAGUAAGUGUCGAAGUCAACUUCUCUCUCGCUCUCUCUCUCUACUUCUUCGAGAUUAGAUACUUACUGAGUAUACGUUAUUUUCGUACUCAUGCUACACUUGCUGCUCAUUUUUGUCGCACAUGCACCUGUAUUUCUAGUGUCCUACUAGGUGUAGCAGCAUAGAUGAUACGUGGACUAGGUGAGCUACACUUCUUGAGGUGACUCAUAGCUAGAGUAGUCUCUUUUAGUCUAUUGCAUUUACUUUUUGUCCCAAAUUGUAUUCCAAACUGUUAUUGUACUUUAUUUGUUUCCUUAGUAAUUGCUCAUGCACUUGUGACACCGCAUUCUGGGAUGAUUAUGGAGUAUUCUGUAAUAACUUCUAAAUAUUCUUUAUCAUUUUGUAAAGAUUAUCUUUUACUAGCCAAAUUGAAAGAAAAUCAUAGUUUUUACAAAUUUUUGAAUGAUAAUUUAAUUAAGUAUUUAUGGUUGGCUUGCCUCACAGUGGUGUCCGGUGCCAUCACAACCCUUAGUGGAUUUUUGGUCGUGACAAGACUGCUACAAAAACAAAUUAGCUAGGGUUCUUCCACCGUUUUGUCACGAGCAUGACAGACACGAAGAGGAGUGGAGAAAGAGCUAUACCGAGGAAAGGAGAGAUUGUGGAAGCGUGGAAAGAUAAAAUUUUCCGAUUGGGUGAAGGUGGGAGGCGGAGGAAAAAUGAAAAUAAGAAAGAAGGGUAGAGAAUAGGAGAGAGACGGGGAGGGGAUUUUGAUGUUUUAAAAGAAACCUCAAAAUUUCAGGGUCAUAAAUGGCAUUUUUCGUAAUUAUAUACAAGCAAUAAGAAUAUCUUCAUUUUAAUAGCGAAACUUAUCUGGAACCUUCCGUUCACAAACCAUAUGAGCAUUUCAAUCAAAAAACAUGUCACAAACCUACUCCCGCACUCAAAACACCAAAAAGAGGCCAUGUUAACCCGAUACCAUUGUCAGACUUCAAAUCCUUAACAUAACUACUUUCUUAACCAAUGACGCAAAACACAUUCUAGACCGUGGGGACCCCAUCAAAUCAUACCAACAAGUAUAAAUAAGUCAUUCAAGCUUAUCCAAAGCCUAACACCCAUGGGAAUAUCACAACAAAAAAUCGAGGCACAAGCUGAAUAAAAUUUAUCUUAAGUUGUUAAAUAUUCAUUCUUUCAAAACAAUAUCUGAGUCACACUUAAACACUUCAGAUCACUUUCAAACUUUGCAUACAAGUUCAAUUAAACUAUAUAGACCUAUUCAAAGUCUCGGAACUCCAAUUAGGAUCCAAUAACAUCAAAGUCGACUCAUGGUCAAACUUAUGAACUUUUAAGUUUUUUUAAAUUGCCAACUUUUGAUAAAUAGUGUAGAAUUAUUCUAGGAAUAUCCGAAACCAAAUCCGAAUAUACGUAUAAGUCCAAAAUCAUCAGACGAAUCUAUCGAAAUAAUCAAAACCCGAUCAUUAGUCUGUUAUCCAAAAGUCAAACAUUUGUCAACUCUUCCAACUUAAAGCUUCUAAAACGAGAAUUAUUUUUCCAAAUUAAUCGCGAAUCGCUCGAAAAUCGAAGUCAAACAUACACACAAGUCAUUAUACAAUAUAUGAAGCUACUAAAAGUCCCUAACCACCGAAUGAAACGCUCAACUUCAAAACGACAAGUCGCGUUAAUAUAAUUUUAUAUAACGUUAUAUAAUAUUAUAAUAUUAUAUACAGACAUUCGAUUUCACCUUCAACUUCCUUUUAAAAAUGGUAUGAUACUCAAAACAAAUAUUAAUCAAACUCAAAUAACCCAAGUCUCUAGAUUCAAGUUACUACAAGUUAUUUCAACAAGUUUUAACUUCAUCAAGUCGUUCUGCAUUAUAUUUUUUCAAGCUCCUCAAAUGCUUUAAUAGAGUUACUCAGAUGUGCAACCAACAAACAAUCACGAUCUCAAAAAAAAUUCAAUUCUAGAGUUGGACGCCUAUAAAAGAUAUCAUCAAGAUUCAAAGCAAGAAAGUGAAUCGAACAACAAUUUCAGAGUAAUUUGGGUUGCAAAAUCAUCCACUUAAAAGAGAAAAAUAAAGAAGAUAAAAAAAUACCCUUAGAAAUGGCCUCUAUUGUCGGCUAACGGAUGAAUUUGUUUAAAUUAUAUACACAUUGGGCCAAACCAGGUAAGAAUGUAAAAUAUGAGCCCAAUUUGGUUAGAAUGUUAGACCGACUACUAGUGGAGCAUUGCAUCUACAUUCGUUUUUUGGGUCACGUUUAACUUGUGCCCGUUUUUCUAAAAAAACUUGCACGCGUACUCACUUUUUGUGUAACUUCAACAGACGGGGCUGAAGUAGCAAAGACAAUCACGCAAAACUUCAACAUUCUAGUAAAUGGUAUCAUGUGUGCUGAAGUUUUUGUUUGUAAUUGCUGAACUUAAGCAUAGUAGCUGAAGUUUUGGUCUCUAUUUCCUGAAGUUUUUGUUUGUAAUAUUGAACUUAAGCGUAGUAGUUGAAGUUUUAUUUUCUAUUUGCUGAAGUUUUUGUUUGUAAUUGUUGAACAUAAGCAUAAUAGCUGAAGUUUUAUUCUCUAUUUGUUGAAGUUUUUGUUUGUAAUUGUUGAACAUAAGCAUUGUAGCUGAAGUUUUGUUCUCUAUUUAGUUUUUUCAGUAAGCUUUUCCGAAAAUUUCAGCAAAAGAUGCUGAAGUUAUUUAGUUCAUUUGUAAAAAUUUCAGCAUAUGGGAUUGGGAGGAGACGCGAACCUAAGAUUUAAACCAUAUGGGUUUAAUUGUCAAAGUUUUAAAUAUUGAAUUCAAUAUUUUUUUUUAAAUUAUAGUUUCAUAUCAUCUAUUUUUUGAAAUUUUGAUGAAUCUUUAUAUAUAAUUCUUAUUUUUCAUCGAAAGUUAUAGGUUCAAUUGAAACUGUCGGUUCGACAGUAAAUCCGAUUCUUGUUGGGAGGGGGCAUAACUUGACAAUUAAUGUGUUCCCUGGGUUAAAUUCUUGCUCCACUAUUUGCUUGACUCUUGGUGCUCCUGUAUCUUUUAAACUCUGGGUCCUCCUUUGCAUAGUGAGCCACGUAUUCAUAUGUAAAUUUGAUUUCUCUAGAAUUUUUUAUCUAAAACAUUAUUCACGUGUCCAACAAUAACAUAUCACGAUUAAUAGUGUACAACCAUGAAAGUAGAAUUAUUCACAAGAGGCACUCUAUAUAAAGGCUAUAUGGUCUCUCACGAUUAAUAGUGUACAACCAUGCAAGUAGAAUUAUUCACAAGAGGCACUCUAUAUAAAGGCUAUAUGGUCUCGUUAAAUUAAAUCAGCAAAAUCGUGUAAGAAAAUCUCACACUGCUAACAAAUGGGUCUCAAAGGCAAGUUGAUCUCUCAAAUAGAGAUGAAGUGUGCUGGAGAUUUGCUUCAUGAACACUUCAAAUCAAAUCCACACCAAACCUCCACCAUGUCUCCUGAUAAGAUAAAAAAUUUCACGUUACAUGAGGGUCAGUUAGGUAAUACUGGUUCUGUUAUCAGCUGGAAGUACGUUCUUGGUAAGCCUUUAUUUCAUUUCGAAUUCGAGUUUGCUUUGGUACAAGUGACCGAUUUCUCAACUUUCUCACUUCUUUUUAUUUUCUGAUAUUGUAGGGUAGGUUUUGUAUAGAAAAAAUAUUUUCUUGAAAAAUAUUUUAUUCGAAAAAUAAGUGAUUUUUCUAUUAUUUUGUUUAGUUUUUGAUUAGGUAUGAGAGUAUAUUUUUAAAAAUUUAUAAUUUAAGCAAAUACUAUAUGAGACGAACUAGGGGAAAAGUGGAAGGUCGGGUCUAAGAGCCGGAGUAGCGGUGGCAAGGGGGUGGCGAGGGGAGGGGUUGUUAAGGGGCAGGGGUGAGGUUGGGGUGGUAGGGGUAGGGGUAGAGGUAAGGGUUGAGGCGAGAAAUGGGGUGGGGAACAAAUUUAUAAUUUAAGCAAUAACUAUUUGGUCUGCAUUUCCCAGGUUUAUUUAAAGUGUAUCAUGCAUGACAUGAGCUUAAGUGUCCUCACUAUGUUCAUUUUGAAAACAGGAGGAAAAGAGAGGCAUGCGAAGCAGGUCCUACACGUUGAUGAUGCGAAAAAAUCAAUCACCUUCAAUUUUGUUGAAGGUUAUAUGAAUGAAUUAUACAAGUCCAUAACAGCUACUUUGACUGCAGAGGGAAACUGGAUGACUUGGACCCUUGUGUAUGAGAAGUUGAAUGAAAACACACCAGAGCCCCUUGAUCUUUUGGAAUUUGCUAUUUGCCUCCUCAAAGAUAUUGAGCCUCAUCAUGUCGGGAAAUAGAUAUUUGUUCCCGUUCCCAUCAGUACGAUGAAGU